GGGUCAGUAGGUUGGUCGUGCCACCGGUACGUACUGGUCUCACUGAUUCCUCCUUCCUGAAGAACCGUAAUGCCAUUAAUUUGGUGUUGCGGGGAAACAGGACUGUUACUUUGAAAAAAUUAGGGUGUUUAAAGCAAGCUAACGCUUGAAUACAUUAGCAUGGAAUAAUGAAAUAGGACGAUCGAUCCUAUUUUGUUGGCUUCUAGGAUUGACGUA
rnacentral:rRNA from 1 species